AAAGCAAUAGGUUAUUUAAACUAUUAUCCUUCAAAGAUAAAGAUAGUAAGCUUUACCUUU
rnacentral:tRNA from 1 species